AUGCGGCGGGGCCGGGGCGCAGGGCUGGCGGGGCUGGCCGCGGUGCUCCUGGUGGCUGUGGGCAGAGCCCAGGUGCAGCAGGAGCCGUCGGCAGAGACCACCGAGGGCACCGGCAUCAGCAUCAACUGCUCGCACCCCAACAUGCAGACUGCCGAGUGGAUUUACUGGUACCGUCAGCUCCCGGGCCGGGGCCCAGCACUCCUCGUGUUCGGCAUUACAGGCAGCAAGGAUGUGCGGGAGCCGCCGGGGCGGCUGUCGGUGGCGGCAGACCGCCGGUCCAGCGCCCUGUGGCUCGCCCGGCCCCGGCGCAGGGACGCGGCGGUGUAUUACUGCGCCCGAGGAGACACGGGGAGAGGAGCCGGGGCUGCGGCCGGGCACGAACCGGUUCAGUCAUUGCUACACAAAGAGGAUGACUGUGAUGCCUGA